AGAGUUAAAUAGUACGUGAAAUUGUUGAAAGGGAAACGAUUGAAGUCAGUCAUGCCAGUGGGAAUCAACUUAGGGGAAACUCUAAGUGCACUUCUUUGCUUGGCAGGUCAACGUCGAUUUUGGAUGUCAUAAAAUGAUUGGGGGAAGGUAGCUCUUUCUGGAGUGUUAUAGCCCUUGGUAGAUGUGAUGUCUGGGAUCGAGGAUUGCAAUGGAUACCUUUAGGGCUAGCCACCUGAUCUCUAAUCAGUAUUGGGUUACGGACAGCAUGCUGACCGUGAUUCAAUUAUUGGUUAAAAGAUUAGAGCGUGCAUAAAUUCAUUAAGGACGUUGACGUAAUGGCUUUAAACGACC
rnacentral:rRNA from 1 species